CCAGUCCUGUCCCAGCCCAGCCUCAGCUCUGGGAGGAGACCCCACCCCUUCCCCUGCAGGCUUUUGUCGGCUCGGCAGAGCUGUUUUGUUUUGCAACGCCAGGGAAGAAACAGGGUCUCUUGCGGGAUCCGGGACCUCAGACCCGGUGUGACCCAGCUGAGGGAUCCACCUUCGCGUCUCCUUGAGGACGCAGAGCAGCCACUCCAAGUCCAGCAACACGAAGCCACAGCCCGGCAGCCACCGCUGAACACACCAAGAGGGUGACAGGAAGGCAGCAGUCCCCUACAGCACCCAGAUGACAGCCGAUGACGCAGUAAAGCUCAGACUGGACGCCACGCCACCUGGCACCCUGGGGAGUCAGAGAAGACCGAGGGAAUGCUGAUCGGAGGCUUCCGGAAGCCCCCGCAGGUCCCCCCACAAAGGCUCCUUCAGGUCACCCCCAAGCUGUGCGCACACCCCAAACCACUGCUCAGCCCUCCCAGAGAAGGCCAGCCAGGAGCCCCGCCACACACCAACCCUCAGCCUGGGCCCAGCCCCCAC